UGGAAAUUAAGAAGCAAAGGAUGCCUUUCAUGUUGUGGACCACGCCUUUGACGUCUGGAUGACCAAAUGGACAGACAUAAUUGAGAUCAACAAUUUUCCUAAGAGUCGUUCCAGAGCAUACUUACUAACGUCAGUGAUAGGACCUAUCUCACAGGUGGUUUACUCAUGGGUGUAGUGGUCAUUGGUAUCACCUCCAUUCGUUGUCAGGUCCGUCAGUUUUAUGGUGUUACUCACUAUGUUGGUUUCGGCUUUUUUGUGAGUGGAGAUGUGAUUGGCAUAGUGGCUGGGAUAUCUCUGGUUGUUACCGUCAAUGUGAAAGGUCGCCCACUUCUAGGCAUAUUUUUCGUCUCACAGUUACAAGGCAGACGGCGAUGGUGGCCUUCUGGAGCAGAAAUGCUGAGGCUAUUCACAUUGAGCAUAUGGUUGAUGUGGGUUCUAGAGAGCCUGUGGUUCUCUUGGUUAUGGGAUGCACCUGUAAAAAACAGGAUUUUUUAAGGUUGGUAGGAUCUGUUCAGCCAGUUGUGCUUAUCAUGGAAAGGGGACGGUGUUUCGGAGUGUCUAGAUCCAACCUGUGACCGUGCCAACAUAAAACGUGUUCUCCAUGGUUGGCCUAGCUACGACGACGACAGCAUCGAUGCUGUCAGGGCGGCUCCAGAAGGCGCAUAUCCAGUUGAUAUUGUAGAGCAUGGUGUGUGACUUUUGAUGCUUCAGGGCUAUGCAGUGGUUUCUGCAGUACAUCUUGUGAUCAAACAAGGUUUUGCUUUUGGCGCAAACAAGACUUUGCUUUUGGCAGUACCAGCCUUCAGAUGAAACAGUAAGGAAUUUGUAGUUGCUUUCAAUGAAUUGAUUUUUAAGCUAUGGGGCAAUUUUGGCAUGCGGCCAGCUACGCUAGCAAAAGGAAUUAAAAUCAGCCUAUCCUGUCUUAUUAUGAA